rnacentral:rRNA from 1 species
UUGCACGCUGGCGGCAGGCCUAACACCUGCAAGUCGCACGGUAACAGGAAGCAGCUUGCUGCUUCGCUGACGAGUGGCGGACGGGUGAGUAAUGUCUGGGAAGCUGCCUGAUGGAGGGGGAUAACUACUGGAAACGGUAGCUAAUACCGCAUAAUGUCGCAAGACCAAAGAGGGGGACCUUCGGGCCUCUUGCCAUCGGAUGUGCCCAGAUGGGAUUAGCUUGUUGGUGGGGUAACGGCUCACCAAGGCGACGAUCCCUAGCUGGUCUGAGAGGAUGACCAGCCACACUGGGACUGAGACACGGUCCAGACUCCUACGGGAGGCAGCAGUGGGGAAUAUUGCACAAUGGGCGCAAGCCUGAUGCAGCCAUGCCGCGUGUAUGAAGAAGGCCUUCGGGUUGUAAAGUACUUUCAGCGGGGAGGAAGGGAGUAAAGUUAAUACCUUUGCUCAUUGACGUUACCCGCAGAAGAAGCACCGGCUAACUCCGUG